rnacentral:rRNA from 1 species
AGUGAACGCUGGCGGUAGGCCUAACACAUGCAAGUCGAACGGCAGCACAGUAAGAGCUUGCUCUUACGGGUGGCGAGUGGCGGACGGGUGAGGAAUACAUCGGAAUCUACUUUUUCGGGGGGGAUAACGUAGGGAAACUUACGCUAAUACCGCAUACGACCUACGGGUGAAAGCAGGGGAUCUUCUGACCUUGCGCGAUUGAAUGAGCCGAUGUCGGAUUAGCUAGUUGGCGGGGUAAAGGCCCACCAAGGCGACGAUCCGUAGCUGGUCUGAGAGGAUGAUCAGCCACACUGGAACUGAGACACGGUCCAGACUCCUACGGGAGGCAGCAGUGGGGAAUAUUGGACAAUGGGCGCAAGCCUGAUCCAGCCAUACCGCGUGGGUGAAGAAGGCCUUCGGGUUGUAAAGCCCUUUUGUUGGGAAAGAAAAGCAGCAGGUUAAUACCCCGCUGUUCUGACGGUACCCAAAGAAUGAGCACCGGCUAACUUCGUG